GGUCGGACAAUAUAUAUACUUGGAAGUUCAAGGUCAUUAUACGUGCCUUAGUAUCUUAUAACUUUUUAUUUAAGCCAUUCAUAUUACAAUUACACUGGAUGGCUGUGAUUUGUUUUUUCAAUCAAUCAAUUCACUCCAGAUACUGGUGAAAGGAUAGGUCUCAACGUAAAUAUUUGAAAAAGAAACGCUAUGUAGAUCUAUUC
rnacentral:lncRNA from 1 species